AGUGCGAAUGCUGACAUAAGUAACGAUAAAACGGGUGAAAAACCCGUUCGCCGGAAGACCAAGGUUUCCUGUCCAACGUUAAUCGGGGCAGGGUGAGUCGGCCCCUAAGGCGAGGCUGAAAAGCGUAGUCGAUGGGAAACGGGUUAAUAUUCCCGUACUUGGAUAAACUGCGAUGUGGGGACGGAGCAGGUUAGGUUAGCGUGCUGUUGGAAAUGCACGUUUAAGUUGGUAGGUGGAGUGCUUAGGCAAAUCCGGGCACUUAUUAACACUGAGAGAUGAUGACGAGUUCUUAAGGGGACGAAGUAACUGAUACCACACUUCCAGGAAAAGCCACUAAGCUUCAGGUUUAUCGAAACCGUACUGAAAACCGACACAGGUGGUCAGGUAGAGAAUACUCAGGCGCUUGAGAGAACUCGGGUGAAGGAACUAGGCAAAAUAGCACCGUAACUUCGGGAGAAGGUGCGCCGGCAUAGAUUGUAAGGGCUUGCCCCUGAAGGUUGAACCGGUCGAAGAUACCAGCUGGCUGCAACUGUUUAUUAAAAACACAGCACUCUGCAAACACGAAAGUGGACGUAUAGGGUGUGAUGCCUGCCCGGUGCUGGAAGGUUAAUUGAUGGUGUAAUCGAAAGAGAAGCUCCUGAUCGAAGCCCCAGUAAACGGCGGCCGUAACUAUAACGGUCCUAAGGUAGCGAAAUUCCUUGUCGGGUAAGUUCCGACCUGCACGAAUGGCAUAAUGAUGGCCAGGCUGUCUCCACCCGAGACUCAGUGAAAUUGAAAUCGCCGUGAAGAUGCGGUGUACCCGCGGCUAGACGGAAAGACCCCGUGAACCUUUACUAUAGCUUGACACUGAACCUUGAAUUUUAAUGUGUAGGAUAGGUGGGAGACGAAGAAGUUGUCACGCCAGUGAUGAUGGAGUCGACGUUGAAAUACCACCCUUUAACGUUUGAUGUUCUAACGAGACGUCAAUUACGGGCGUUCGGACAGUGUCUGGUGGGUAGUUUGACUGGGGCGGUCUCCUCCCAAAGCGUAACGGAGGAGCACGAAGGUUUGCUAAUGACGGUCGGACAUCGUCAGGUUAGUGCAAUGGUAUAAGCAAGCUUAACUGCGAGACGGACAAGUCGAGCAGGUACGAAAGUAGGUCAUAGUGAUCCGGUGGUUCUGAAUGGAAGGGCCAUCGCUCAACGGAUAAAAGGUACUCCGGGGAUAACAGGCUGAUACCGCCCAAGAGUUCAUAUCGACGGCGGUGUUUGGCACCUCGAUGUCGGCUCAUCACAUCCUGGGGCUGAAGUAGGUCCCAAGGGUAUGGCUGUUCGCCAUUUAAAGUGGUACGCGAGCUGGGUUUAGAACGUCGUGAGACAGUUCGGUCCCUAUCUGCCGUGGGCGUAGGAUGAUUGAAAGGGGCUGCUCCUAGUACGAGAGGACCGGAGUGGACGCACCACUGGUGUUCGGGUUGUGUCGCCAGACGCAUUGCCCGGUAGCUAAGUGCGGAAGAGAUAAGUGCUGAAAGCAUCUAAGCACGAAACUUGCCUUAAGAUGAGUCAUCCCUGACAAUAAGUUAGUAAGGGUUGUUGUAGACUACGACGUAGAUAGGUGGGGUGUGUAAGCAUAGUGAUAUGUUGAGCUAACCCAUACUAAUUGCCCGAGAGGCUUAACUAU
rnacentral:ncRNA from 1 species